rnacentral:rRNA from 1 species
AGAGUUUGAUCCUGGCUCAGAACGAACGCUGGCGGCAUGCCUAACACAUGCAAGUCGAACGCCUGUAGCAAUACAGGAGUGGCGCACGGGUGAGUAACGCGUGGGAACCUGCCCUGGAGUGGGGGAUAACCCGGCGAAAGCCGGGCUAAUACCGCAUACGACCUGAGGGUGAAAGAUUUAUCGCUCUAGGAGGGGCCCGCGUCGGAUUAGCUAGUUGGUGGGGUAACGGCCUACCAAGGCAACGAUCCGUAGCUGGUCUGAGAGGAUGAUCAGCCACACUGGGACUGAGACACGGCCCAGACUCCUACGGGAGGCAGCAGUGGGGAAUAUUGGACAAUGGGCGCAAGCCUGAUCCAGCAAUGCCGCGUGAGUGAUGAAGGCCUUAGGGUUGUAAAGCUCUUUCGGCGGGGACGAUGAUGACGGUACCCGCAGAAGAAGCCCCGGCUAACUUCGUGCCAGCAGCCGCGGUAAUACGAAGGGGGCGAGCGUUGUUCGGAAUUACUGGGCGUAAAGGGCGCGCAGGCGGCUCUGAAAGUCAGAUGUGAAAGCCCCGGGCUUAACCUGGGAAUUGCAUUUGAUACUCUGGAGCUUGAGUACGGGAGAGGAGAGUGGAAUUCCCAGUGUAGAGGUGAAAUUCGUAGAUAUUGGGAAGAACACCAGUGGCGAAGGCGGCUCUCUGGACCGUAACUGCGCUGAGGCGCGAAAGCGUGGGGAGCAAACAGGAUUAGAUACCCUAGUAGUCC